rnacentral:rRNA from 1 species
CCUACGGGGCGCACCAGUGGGGAAUAUUGGACAAUGGGGGCAACCCUGAUCCAGCAAUGCCGCGUGUAUGAAGAAGGUCUUCGGAUUGUAAAGUACUUUCGACAGGGACGAUGAUGACGGUACCUGUAGAAGAAGCCCCGGCUAACUUCGUGCCAGCAGCCGCGGUAAUACGAAGGGGGCUAGCGUUACUCGGAAUGACUGGGCGUAAAGGGCGCGUAGGCGGCUUAUACAGUCAGACGUGAAAUUCCUGGGCUUAACCUGGGACCUGCAUUUGAUACGUAUAGACUAGAGUGUGAGAGAGGAUUGUGGAAUUCCAAGUGUAGAGGUGAAAUUCGUAGAUAUUUGGAGGAACACCGGUGGCGAAGGCGGCAAUCUGGCUCACUACUGACGCUGAGGCGCGAAAGCGUGGGGAGCAAACAGGAUUAGAUACCCUUGUAGUC